GCGGUGUCGACGUCGCCGUCAACAUAACCGCGGGGAAAUUUUUUCUGCUAAAUUUAGCGGGGAAUUUUUCCCGCUAAAUUUAGCGGGGAAAUUUUUCUGCUAAACUUAGCAAGCAAAUUUUUCCCCUAAGUUUAGCGGGGGAAAUUUCCUGUUAAAUUUAGCGGAAAGAUUUCCCUG
rnacentral:SRP_RNA from 1 species